UCCUCGGUAGUAUAGUGGUUAGUGGUUAGUAUCCCCGCCUGUCACGCGGGAGACCGGGGUUCGAUUCCCCGCCGGGGAG